AAAUAACGAAAGGGAAAAAAAAAAUUUUUACAAUAUUGUGUAUUUAAAAUGUACGACCUAUUUUAAUUCGUUCGCUGCGGACCGGCGCCGCGUUGUGAAUACCACGGUGUCGGUAUCGUGACGUUUCGAGGCGAAAACGGAAGUGAAAAAAAAUAAUGGAAUUCGUAUUAGUACCGCAAGGCAAAGUGUUUCUAGAUGUGUAGAAAAAAAACAAACGGACAAAACGAACGGCGCGACGGAGAGUAUCGCGGCCCCCCGACCCCAUCUAAAAGAACACCGCGCCCGUCCAAUUAACUGUCGGCCUCUCGAGGAGAAAACCGACCCUCCCCCCCCCCCCGGUCCCUCGACGAACUACCGAUUUGGUUUUUUUCUCUAAAACCGAUCGUGUCGCGUUUACGACUUCCCCGCCGCGUUGACGCGCCGCCGCCGCGAUCGCCGAUACCGUGGACGAUCGCCGUACGCGAACCGCGAAAGGUCCGUAACUUCCGACCCGGGGACGACUCUGUUUUGUACACAACUAACACUUUACGAAUAAUACAUUAUAUUCUAUACUAAUACUAUAUAAAUGUAAUACUAAUGAUUAUUAUAAUUACGUGUAAAUUAUUAUUAUUAUUAUUUUUUUUUUUUUUUUGUAAAAUUCGGGGGGCGUGGACCGAGUGCUCUUUGACUUGUUGGCACCAAAGGGCCCGCGAUCCCCGUUGCCCCCCGGCGUCCCUCCUAUCUCCCGACCCUCUCCUCGACCCUUCCUCCCCCCCCCUAAAACCUCCCAACUGCUCCUCGUCACCGUGUUAGCGCACCUCCGUGUGUAACCGACCGCGGCCGCCCGCCCGUAGCCGCGAGGACAUCGACGUGAAAACCCGUGGAAAUUCGCCCGUCCACUCGUUUAUACGUUUUACCCCGUUGCGCGUACAAUGCGAGGUUCGCGACGGAUCCGUUUUAGCGUUUUCAACGCGACAGAAGCGGAGAAAAGUGAAAAGGAAAAAAAACAAAACACAAAUAGGAGGAUCCGCUCGAAAACACAACCGUAUCCCGUUCCUCCCGAACCAGUGCCCUCUUCUUCCCCGCCCAUCAUUCACUCCCCUCCCUCCCCGGUCAUCAACACCCGCCGCCGCCGGGAACCCGAAAACCAGCCGGCGGCCCGGCGCAAAAAAAAGUCUUCGUCGCUGGGAGCGAGACUUGACGGCGCCCCCCCCACCCCUUUCCCCCACCGGGAAACCGCGCGCAAACUGCCGCGCAGCCCUUACCUCCAGUCAGGUGCCCCCACCCCAAACCCUCCCCCCCCACCGGCAGAAGACCCGAGCCGAGCACGAUUUACGAGCGACGUUUUUUCAGUUGUCGUCGACCACUCCCUCACACCCCCGCGACAAUCGAACACGUCCACUCCCAGCAUAUUCAAGGUUCCUAUAUUUAGCUAACACAUGUACUAAGGUUCCUGUUUUAUUACAUAUAUAUACAUACAUAUAUAUAUAUAUAUAUAUAUAAGUAUAUAUAUGAUAAUAAUAUUAUAUUAAUAAUAAUGAAAAAAAAAAUUAAUCAUAAAAAAUUUAAAAAAAAAAAAAAAAAAA